rnacentral:rRNA from 1 species
GACGAACGCUGGCGGCGUGCUUAACACAUGCAAGUCGAACGGAAAGGCCUGCUUUCCCUUGUGGAUUGCGGGUACUCGAGUGGCGAACGGGUGAGUAACACGUGAGUGAUCUGCCCCCAACUUGGGUAUAAGCCUGGGAAACUGGGUCUAAUUCCCGAUAGGACUGCAGGGUGGUGCCUGUGGUGGAAAACGAUUUUCUAGUGGUCGGGGAUGAGCUAGCGGCCUAUCAGCUUGUUGGUGGGGUAAUGGCCUACCAAGGCGGCGACGGGUAGCCGGCCUGGGAGGGUGGACGGCCACAUUGGGACUGAGAUACGGCCCAGACUCCUACGGGAGGCAGCAGUGGGGAAUAUUGCACAAUGGGCGGAAGCCUGAUGCAGCGACGCCGCGUGGGGGAUGACGGCCUUCGGGUUGUAAACUCCUUUCGACCGCGAGGAAGCCACCUGGUUGGAAGGGUGGUGACGGUAGUGGUAGAAGAAACACCGGCUAACUACGU